CCUACGGGAGGCAGCAGUGGGGGAUAUUGCACAAUGGGGAGAACCCUGAUGCAGCGACGCCGCGUGGGUGAAGAAGCGCCUCGGCGCGUAAAGCUCUGUCAGCAGGGAAGAAAAUGACGGUACCUGAAGAAGAAGCCCCGGCUAACUACGUGCCAGCAGCCGCGGUAAUACGUAGGGAGCGAGCGUUAUCCGGAUUUACUGGGUGUAAAGGGGGCGCAGACGGCGUUGCAAGACAGGAGUGAGAGCCCGGGGCUCAACCCCGGGACUGCACUUGAAACUGGGUGGCUGGAGUGCAGGAGGGGCAGGCGGAAUUCGUGGUGUAGCGGUGAAAUGCGUAGAUAUCAGGAGGAACACCGGUGGCGAAGGCGG
rnacentral:rRNA from 1 species